rnacentral:rRNA from 1 species
CAGUAUUUACCGCAUGGUAGAUAUUUGAAAGGAGCAAUUGCUUCACUAUGAGAUGGACCUGCGUUGUAUUAGCUAGUUGGUGAGGUAACGGCUCACCAAGGCUUCGAUACAUAGCCGACCUGAGAGGGUGAUCGGCCACACUGGGACUGAGACACGGCCCAGACUCCUACGGGAGGCAGCAGUAGGGAAUCUUCGGCAAUGGGGGCAACCCUGACCGAGCAACGCCGCGUGAGUGAAGAAGGUUUUCGGAUCGUAAAGCUCUGUUGUAAGAGAAGAACUGUGAGAAGAGUGGAAAGUUUCUCACUUGACGGUAUCUUAC